GCGGCCUAUCAGCUUGUUGGUGGGGUGAUGGCCUACCAAGGCGGUGACGGGUAGCCGGCCUGAGAGGGCGACCGGCCACACUGGGACUGAGACACGGCCCAGACUCCUACGGGAGGCAGCAGUGGGGAAUAUUGCGCAAUGGGCGGAAGCCUGACGCAGCGACGCCGCGUGGGGGAUGACGGCCUUCGGGUUGUAAACCUCUUUCGACUCCGACGAAGCGAGAGUGACGGUAGGAGUAGAAGAAGCACCGGCCAACUACGUGCCAGCAGCCGCGGUAAUACGUAGGGUGCGAGCGUUGUCCGGAAUUAUUGGGCGUAAAGAGCUCGUAGGCGGUGUGUCGCGUCGAUCGUGAAAACUUGGGGCUUAACCCUGAGCGUGCGGUCGAUACGGGCAUCACUUGAGUUCGGCAGGGGAGACUGGAAUUCCU
rnacentral:rRNA from 1 species